rnacentral:tRNA from 1 species
GGGAUUGUGGCUAGUACACCGCCGACCAGAGCGUGCGUCACCCGUUCCCUGAUAAGGAAGAGGCCGAUGGUUCAAGUCCAUCUAGGCCCA